AUAAUAAUUUAUAUUUAUUACGCCAAAUUCCUGCACACUAUAUAUAUUAAAUUAGAAUAUAUAAAACCAAUUGAAUUUGUCAAGACUUUCGUCUUGGUUUGAGCAAUUUUUUUUUAAUAAGAAUAAUAGCAACAAAAAUAAGUUUUGAUCUAGUGCUUUGAAAAUUAAACCUAUUCUUGAGUAUAUUUGGUGUGCUAAUUUCAUAAUAGCAUCGGAUUCACUAUAUCAGCUGUAGUUUUGACAUAUAGCAUAGAUAUCGGUAUGCAGAAAUUAUAAUUUAAUAAUAAAUGUACAUCAUGGCUUCCUCAAGAAGAAACUGUCUAAACCAUCCAAAUGUCUUUUGCUACUUGCAAAAGUCUGUGGCUAUUGCAUUUUGAAAGAUAUUAAGAAACCUAUCCCUGAAUUUGUGAAGAGGGCAUAUCUUAGUUAUUUUCAUGUCAAGCUUGGAGAUCAAGGUUUAGAAGGAAUCCAAAGAUCCUCAUUCAGACUGCUAUUUUUGUCUUGUCAACAUCAAGAACAUCAAACGAAACAAUUGUAGCAAGUAGACAUAACCAGACCUAGAUUAAACAAGGUAACCUCAGCCACACCCAAAUGAAGUAUUUAUUCUAUUUUUCAUUCACCUAUCAGAACUUUUAGAGGAUGAUAAAUCACACAUAUUUGAUGAAAUUCAAGAUAACAUAAAUGAAUAGUUAUUUUAUAGGAAAUCCAUCAAAACUUUAACAAUUUAACCAACAUGAACUGAUCGACUUAAUGUGAGAUCAGAAUUUCUCAAAGAAAUCUUUUUAAUUGCUAAUAUCCAAAUUUUCAAAGAAAAGAAUUUAUUUUAAUGAUACUGGUCUUCGUAGAUCUCACGUUAGAAAGUUCUAUAAAAGAAACUUUUUAUACGUUGAAUAAUUGAUCAUAUUAUAUACUCAACUGCUUUAAUAAUAUGUGACAAUAUGUAAUCAGUAAUAAUAAUUUCACUAAUAUUUUUCGAAUCAUAUAGAAACAUAGCAGAUCAUAUAAUUAAAGAUGUUGAAUUUUUAUGGACGAUCUGUUGAAUUUGUAUAUGAAACUGUUAUGCCGUAUUUCCAAAACUGUAAUUGAUAAAAUAAAACUUGCUAUUUUUGAAAUCAAUACCCCCCAAAAAACUCAAGAAUUGGUCUUUGUAUAACAUUUUAGGCACCAAAAUGUGUUGGACAGUGAUAUAAAUACUGAUGAUAUUAACGAGUUUUAUUGUAAUAGGUGUAGAUUUUCAACACAGCCGAUAAAUGUGAUAAUUUGCGGUUCGAAUAUUAUUCGUUAAAUGUGCUGUGAAAUAUUUUUUAAACGUUACAAAGAAUUCAAAUUUCUAUAUGAAUAUCCGAUAUAGCAACUUCUUUAAAAUAGAAAAAAAUAAUUUUUUUAUUGUUAUACUUUAUUUGCGACGUUAUCAAAUUUAAUAAAU